rnacentral:rRNA from 1 species
AUUGAACGCUGGCGGCAGGCCUAACACAUGCAAGUCGAACGAGUGGCGGACGGGUGAGUAAUGUCUGGGAAACUGCCUGAUGGAGGGGGAUAACUACUGGAAACGGUAGCUAAUACCGCAUACCAUCGGAUGUGCCCAGAUGGGAUUAGAUAGUAGGUGGGGUAAAGGCUCACCUAGGCGACGAUCCCUAGCUGGUCUGAGAGGAUGACCAGCCAGACUGGAACUUAGACUCGGUCCAGACUGCUACGGGAGGCAGCAGGGGGGAAUAUUGCACAAGGGGCGCAAGCCUGAUGCAGCCAUGCCGCGUGUAUGAAGAAGGCCUGCGGGUUGUAAAGUACUGUCAGCGGGGAGGCGUUACCCGCGGAAGAAGCACCGGCUAACUCCGUGCCAGCCGCCGCGGUAAUAC